GAUGAACGCUGGCGGCGUGCCUAAUACAUGCAAGUCGAGCGAACGGACGAGAAGCUUGCUUGUCUGAUGUUAGCGGCGGACGGGUGAGUAACACGUGGAUAACCUACCUAUAAGACUGGGAUAACUUCGGGAAACCGGAGCUAAUACCGGAUGAUAUUUUGAACCGCAUGGUUCAAAAGUGAAAGACGGUCUUGCUGUCACUUAUAGAUGGAUCCGCGCUGCAUUAGCUAGUUGGUAAGGUAACGGCUUACCAAGGCAACGAUGCAUAGCCGACCUGAGAGGGUGAUCGGCCACACUGGAACUGAGACACGGUCCAGACUCCUACGGGAGGCAGCAGUAGGGAAUCUUCCGCAAUGGGCGAAAGCCUGACGGAGCAACGCCGCGUGAGUGAUGAAGGUCUUCGGAUCGUAAAACUCUGUUAUUAGGGAAGAACAUAUGUGUAAGUAACUGUGCACAUCUUGACGGUACCUAAUCAGAAAGCCACGGCUAACUACGUG
rnacentral:rRNA from 1 species